UACGGAGGGUGCAAGCGUUAUCCGGAUUCACUGGGUUUAAAGGGUGCGUAGGCGGGUAAGUAAGUCAGUGGUGAAAUCUUCAAGCUUAACUUGGAAACUGCCAUUGACACUAUUUAUCUUGAAUGUUCUGGAGGUCAGCGGAAUAUGUCAUGUAGCGGUGAAAUGCUUAGAUAUGACAUAGAACACCUAUUGCGAAGGCAGCUUACUACGCCUAUAUUGACGCUGAGGCACGAAAGCGUGGGGAUCAAACAGG
rnacentral:rRNA from 1 species